CACGCCUCCUCGUCUUCAGCCCCCAACCGCGCGACUCUGUAGUCCGCCCAUCUACGUCGACAUGUCAGCCACGCCAUCCGACCCGGUCCAUCCUGCAUUUCCUCUCUGGCGUCGCUCCUCCUCAGCUCUGCCAGUCUUCGGAUUCUGGUAUUCGGGAAACCCUUGAUGGUGAAGAAAGUUUCCAAACUGAGUGAAGGUUCGUUUGGGGCAUUUCGAUACCCUUAGGCUAAGUGGAUGCAGUUUCAAUGCAGUUGUGGGAUGGGUUGUGCUGCUAUGAUUUGUUUCAAACCAUUGAUAUUGUUGUAUGGGUAGGUCAGAUUGCUCAUUUGAAGUGUUGGGAGAUCAUUUCGAGUGUGUGGUUUUCGUUGCUGUCGUGCUUGUAUUGAACCGUUAGUAUGAGAUAUCUUGAUAUGCCUGUUGGUUAGUUGAAAAUUUUGGAAGCUCAUGCAUAUGUCAUGGAAUGUUCCUAUGAUAUGUUCUAGGAGGGUUUGAUGGAUUGGUAAAUUGUGAACAUGAUUUAUGACCUUGGUUGUAUGCUUAUGUUUGUAUGAGAUUGUAGUGACUGUUA